CUAACGAGAUGAUAUAUUGACAUUACAGACAGGUGUUUACUGUAUACAGGUCUAUAUAGACUAACGGGAUGAUGUAUUGACAUUUUAGACAGGUGUUUACUGUUUACAGGUCUAUAUAGACUAACGAGAUGAUAUAUUGACAUUAUAGACAGGUGUUUACUGUAUACAGGUCUAUAUAGACUAACGAGAUGAUAUAUUGACAUUAUAGACAGGUGUUUACUGUAUACAGGUCUAUAUAGACUAACGAGAUGAUAUAUUGACAUUACAGACAGGUGUUUACUGUAAACAGGUCUAUAUAGACUAACGAGAUGAUAUAUUGACAUUACAGACAGGUGUUUACUGUAUACAGGUCUAUAUAGACUAACGAGAUGAUAUAUUGACAUUACAGACAGGUGUUUACUGAAUACAGGUCUAUAUAGACUAACGAGAUGAUAUAUUGACUAUAGACAGGUGUUUACUGUAUACAGGUCUAUAUAGACUAACGAGA